GGGAAGAUGGCUCGGUAGUAGAGCGCUUGCCUUGCACGCAUGAGGCCCUGGGUUCAAUUCCUCAGUACCA
rnacentral:tRNA from 1 species